UACGAGGGGUGCAAGCGUUGCUCGGAAUUAUUGGGCGUAAAGGGUAGGUAGGUGGUCUCAUUUGUCUGAGGUGAAAGCCUUGAGCUUAACUCAAGAAGUGCCUUAGAGACGGUGAGACUGGAGUCCUGGAGAGGGUCGUGGAAUUCCCGGUGUAGCGGUGAAAUGCGUAGAGAUCGGGAGGAACACCAGCGGCGAAGGCGGCGACCUGGACAGGUACUGACACUCAACUACGAAAGCGUGGGUAGCAAACAGG
rnacentral:rRNA from 1 species